rnacentral:misc_RNA from 1 species
AACCUAGCACACCUGCGGUGUGUACCUGCGGAAGGAUCAUUACACAAUACAAUAUGAAGGCUGUCCGCAGCUGGAGUAUUUUAUUACCCUUGUCUUUUGCGCACUUGUUGUUUCCUGGGCGGGUUCGCUCGCCACCAGGACCACCAAAUAAACCUUUUUUAUGCAGUUGCAAUCAGCGUCAGUACAAACAAUGUAAAUCAUUUACAACUUUCAACAAUGGAUCUCAGAUCGGAAGAGCAC